GUGAGGGAAUGGUUUUUCGAUU
rnacentral:miRNA from 1 species